UGAGGUCACAUAAUAUGGCGGCUCGGUCCUACCUGCGCUAAGCGGGAGGGGGUAUCCGGGGCUCGGGGGAAAAAAAAAUCGGCGUCCAUCCUUCCCACCCGGGCUGCGCUGCCGCCCCCGAACACCUCGGGCGUCGAGAGACGGGACGAAAGGCCGCGAUGGUCGCUGGUGCUUCCCUGCUCUGAGUCAGGGUCCUUACAACCAGGGUUGGGUCCAAUCGAGACGCCUCGAUGGAGUUGAGAGUCGGGAACCGGUACCGGCUUGGCCGAAAGAUCGGGAGCGGCUCAUUCGGGGACAUUUACCUCGGUACUGACAUAGCUGCUGGAGAAGAGGUUGCCAUCAAAUUGGAAUGUGUCAAAACCAAACAUCCUCAACUCCACAUAGAGAGCAAAAUUUACAAAAUGAUGCAAGGUGGAGUGGGCAUUCCCACAAUCAAAUGGUGUGGUGCUGAAGGUGACUACAAUGUAAUGGUGAUGGAAUUGUUAGGACCAAGUCUUGAAGAUCUCUUUAACUUCUGCUCAAGGAAAUUCAGCCUCAAGACUGUUCUUCUACUUGCUGACCAAAUGAUAAGCCGAAUAGAAUAUAUUCAUUCAAAGAACUUCAUCCACCGAGAUGUAAAGCCGGAUAAUUUCCUGAUGGGAUUAGGCAAGAAAGGCAACCUUGUCUACAUCAUUGAUUUUGGGCUGGCCAAAAAAUAUCGCGAUGCUCGUACUCACCAGCAUAUUCCUUAUCGUGAAAAUAAAAACUUAACGGGAACUGCCCGCUAUGCCUCCAUUAAUACCCAUCUUGGAAUUGAACAAUCUCGCAGAGAUGACUUGGAGUCCUUGGGUUAUGUACUCAUGUAUUUUAACCUGGGCUCCCUCCCCUGGCAGGGAUUGAAGGCAGCUACAAAGAGACAGAAAUAUGAACGCAUCAGUGAAAAGAAAAUGUCCACUCCCAUUGAGGUUUUGUGUAAAGGAUACCCGUCCGAGUUUGCUACCUAUCUGAAUUUCUGCCGCUCGCUGCGUUUUGAUGACAAACCGGAUUAUUCAUAUCUAAGACAAUUAUUCAGAAAUCUCUUCCAUAGACAAGGCUUCUCCUAUGACUAUGUAUUUGAUUGGAACAUGCUCAAAUUUGGUGCAAGCCGAGCAGUAGAAGAUGCUGAGCGUGAAAGAAGAGAGAGAGAAGAGAGAAUGAGACAUACACGCAAUCCAGCUGUUCGUGGAUUACCUUCCACUGCCUCCGGGAGGCUAAGAGGGACACAAGAUGUAGCUCCACCAACUCCUCUUACUCCAACUUCACAUACAGCAAAUACAUCUCCUCGGCCAGUUUCUGGAAUGGAGCGAGAGCGGAAAGUGAGUAUGCGAUUGCAUCGUGGGGCCCCUGUGAAUAUCUCCUCAUCUGAUUUAACAGGUCGACAAGAUACCUCACGCAUGUCAACCUCACAGCAGGUACACCAGGGGAUGGGGUGUGAGUGGAGCCGGCUGGGAGCUGAGAAUUUGAAGUUGCUGCAAAGAAAGAAGUGCAGGAAGAAGAGCAAAUGAGGCAAAAAGCUGAAGAUGGUGAAGAAAGAAGAGUUAACACAGAGCAGAGACAUGGAUUAAAAGGGACAUUUUUCUUCUCAAAUGUUUGGAUGUUCUUGUGAAGUAUGAAAUAAAACUGCUAAAACGUCUAGGUUCUGCAACCUGGCCAGAUUUUUAUUUUGGCCUCUGCUGAAACAUGCAUGCAGUAUAAAUAGCAAUUGAUUGUGAGCCAGAUGAAAGUGUUUCUACACCUACAUGGUGGCAUGUAAGAGAUAAAGGUUUUAGUCCAGCCAGAGUUCUUUAUUUGUAGCAAUGUAAAUCUAGCUUGUAGUGGAUAGAAACAGAGUCAGGGUGGAGACAAACAACAUUCAAGUGUCUUACUCUUGUUGAAAUCAUAUUGAUGGAUAACAUUCAAAUAGAUCAGAGACCAGGACAGCUGAAGGAGCCAUUUCUAAAAGAACAGAGGUUUGCAGGAGAUAAUUGCAGUGUUUUGAAGUAUCUGUAAACAAAGCUUUGAUAAUACUGUACACACCUGUUUGGUCCUCAUGGGCAAACAGCUGUCAGGACUCAAUUCAACUUCCACAAAUAUCUACUAAUGUGUGAUGAAAUCACAGGCAAGGUUUCUCAAUAUGGAGAACUUGGGCUAUGGGUUUGAGUGGGUUUUUAAUAAGGGGGAGAAAUAUUAAUCAUGUGAGUCUGAAGAAGCCUGAAUACAUAUUUAUUACCUUGUUGAGAAAUGGAUCAGAUGGCUGGAUAAGUGAAGUUUUAGUCUUAAAAUACCUAGGGUUGGAAAAUACUGGUAAUUGUUGGCAAGAAUGGUUAUGUAGGAACCACAGGCACCAGCAUUGUCAUGGCAUGAGGCUCAUCUUGGUAAGCAGCUUUAUUCUGAUCUCUCUGAAGGAUGGAAGCAUCACAUGCUAACUUAAAGGUUCCAUAUACUCACUGUUUUUCUUAAAUACUUUCAACCUUUUAGUUGAGUAUUUACAGAGUUACUUAUUUGAAAGUCUCCAACAAGCAGUUCACUUUAUCCUGGUUUUCUCCAUGAAGGUGGGACCACCAGUCAGGAAUGGGUUAACUCCAUCUGAUCUCCUAUUGGACUGAGUCUGCAAGCUGUUAAGCUUCUCCUCAUCCACUUGCUUCCCAGCUUUCAGACUCAGUCACUCUGGUCAGACGUGUAUUUCUGAGCUGAAAUUCACUUUGUUUUUUUCUAUGAAAGUUGGCCUAUAUUUAGCUGAUGUGUCUUUGAUGUCCUUUAUUAUGAUUCCUUUUCAUGAUCAUUUCAGAUCUAUAGCUUUUUCUCAGUGAAGCUUCAACCAUUGUUUCUCCAAGAAAUGUAUUUGUCAGCAUGACAAAAUAUAGGGACUAAUUGGAAAAAAUGCAAUUGCUGGUAGAUGUAUAUUCUUGUUGUCUUUUGUAGUGCCAUUUCUAGCUGGUAGAAAAUACUAGUUUUUUCAGUUUAGUCACCAUCUACAAACUGAGGAUAUGGUGAUUUUUUUUUCCCCAGUAAAAAACCACUUAAACUUGUCUUUUUGUUUCUUGAUGGGCUGAACUCCGUAGCAGGUAUAUUUAUGUAAUUUGAAUUUAGCAUUUCCUGCUCUAUGGGGGAUGUUUUAUAUUCUUAAACAUAUCAUUCAGGUCUAGCAGUAGAAAAGUUGGGUCUUUUUAUGAGAAGAGAAUGAUUUUUUUUAAGCUUCCACUGCCACUAGGAAGAAGUGUUGGUUUGUAUGUACUCAAAGAAGUACUGAGAGAAAAUGUAGCUCCCAUUCCCAGAAGUGUGAUUAAUCUUUUGCAGUAAGUUUACAAAAUUAUUUAGGUUUUGUCUUUUGUGCUGCCUUGGCCAGUUGAGAGCAAUAAAUGGACUUCUGUUCUAGUGAACAUAUUCAUCUGAAAGCCUCUGUUUGUAUCUGUGGUUAUUAGUCUGAAGGCAGGGGGUUGUCCAACCUUGGCAACUAUAAGACUCGUGGACUUCAGCUUCCAGAAUUCCCCAGCCAGCCAUGAUGGCUCAGGAAUUCUGGAAGAGUUGCCAAGUUUGGAGUACUAAUCAGAGAUGCAGGUUUCCUUGAUUUCCUCGGGUUAAAUUUGUCAUUGUAAUAAAGGAAAAUGUUUUUUUGAAUCAAUGGCCAGCACAGACAAUAACUCAUUAACCUGAUAGUCCGUUUGAACUAGGUGUCAUUCCAAUAUAAAUGCAUUUCCAAAAUCCUGUUGAUUGUUCCUGCUGCUCAGAGCAGUCAUUCUUUACACGUCAGUUCUCCAAACACAUUCUCAAAGCAACCUCUUUGGUUAUUCAUUUAGUGACAGCUGUGAAGGCCAAUGUCUCUGAAGCUUCUGAAAGGAGCACUGCUCCAAAUGAAGAACAGCUCCACUUAGAAUCUUAGUUUGAAGUUAACUUUUGGGCAGUGGAAUUGUUUCAAAUGGCUGUCUUUUCCCCCCCACCUCAGAAUAGCAUUCCUUUCGAACACCAUGGCAAGUAGCUGCUCGUCUCCUCGUUGGAAAGCAGCACUGGAUUCCUGCUCUGGCGACGACCAGCGUACUCCAAUCUGCUGUGCAUCGGUGAAAUAAUGUUGCCAUUGAGGGGCAGAUAAUGCAUGGCUGAUCUCCUAUGUUAUCAAUGGCUUUUACUAGCAAACUAUCCCAAACUAGAGCAGAAGAAAUAUUCCAGUUGGAACUCUCCUUGCCACUGUCUAAAGAUACUCACAGGAACAUGGACAGAAUCCAGCAGCUGCCACACUACAAGAGGCUUUAGCCCGAAACCUAAUAACCUUAUAUGAACUCUAGCAACAGGGCUAGAAAAGGAAGCGAUGGUAUACAGCAUUGCCCGCCUGUUAUUUAAUAGCCAUUUUAGUUGUCCCUCAGCAGGCGGCAGUCUUCACCCCCUUUUUAUUGUUCUACUGUAAUUAUAACUCUUUUACUUGGUUUAAGAAAGUUUUGUAUUCAUUUUGCUAAGAUUAUUGGCUUAACUUCUCUAUAAAAACAAAGUCUUGUCUCAUUCAAACCCUGUGUGGAAAUGUGAAAAUUCUAAAGCUUGGUUUCAAAACAAAAAAAUUCAAGACUUGAAACUUCUUGUAAGCUUAAGUGAGAAGAGAAUGUCUACCUGAAUUAGAGGUGUUUCCUUUUAUUUUACACUAUUUACUUUUAUAUGGUCCCAUUCGACAGGACAAGGGGGAUUCUCAAGGGUUUUUAAUUUUUAGUUUUACUUACGGCUGUCUUGUUCUUCCAGGGUCGUCAGGUUUUUUUUGUGUUUUUUUUUAGAAUUUAAACCUCUAUGUACCACCCACUGUUUUGUUUUGUUUUUUAAAUGUUGAUUUGUCUCUCGUUUUGUUCAAGAAAGAGUGGGAGAUCUUUUGGAAGAAAAAGCUGUACCGAGUAGAGGUGAAAAUAACGCUUCAUAGAUUUUGAAGGACAAAAAAAAAAAGCGAAAAUAAUCUUUCAGGAAGUUUUUAAUGUUGAACGUAGAAUGUAUUGCCUUUAUUCAUAAUAGAGGAGGGUUUGGAGAGGGGCAGGAUACCUUGUUCCUGCUGGGUUGUUCCUACAGAUGCCAAUUAAGCACUGCCACUGCAGUGGGAGCAGUGUGGACGUGGGCGGGCCUCUUGAGUGCACAGAGGCAGCAAGUGCCGCCAGCCAGCUGCAUUCCGCCAAGGCUCGGAGUUAUAAGCAAUCUGUUCCUUCUGCAAGAACUCAAGAGAACAUUCAAGCUUGUUGAAUUCUUUCAUUCUUUAUUAAAACGUGCAAGCCUGGAACAGCUGGCCUUCAGCUGAAGAUAUAUUUAUAUAGUGGCCAAAACACUUAGUGUGCCAGCUAAUAUACAUGAAGAAUCUUCGUUUUCAUGAGCAAUAUAUUUAUCCCUUAGUAAUCUGGGAAAGUAGAAGGCAUGUGAGUCAUACCAAAUACCACUCAAAAGCACCAUCAGUCCCACUUCGGGGAUGAAAAUGCAAUAUGUAGGUGUGUUGUUACUACUUUUUAAUAAGCGUGAGAUUCUUGUCUCCUUGGAAACUUGGUGGCGAGUAAGAUUUUAUUUUCCUGUUCAUUUGCAAGCAUUUUGUUUCAAAGCUUUUGUCGGUCACCUUUUGUUUCCUCUCUUUUUUUCACUUCUGUGGAUUUUGAACUAUGAACAAUCUUGUUACUUUUCUUUAGCUGCGUUAGAACUUUAAUCUAUUGCUUAUUUGUAUGUUCAAGGUCUGAUUUGAUGCAACCUAUGAUUGGGGGAGUGCAAUGGGAAUGUGUUUUAAUGUUGGUCCAUGGAAAAAUUUUGAAUAAUUGUAUCACUGGUUGCUGUAGAUGUUGGUUCUUUGGGCAUGUGCACUUCCAUUUGUACAGUUCUACACUUCAGUGUGCUUUUUGUAAAUAUUUGUUGUCAAUGAUGUAAUGUUAGAGACUUUAAAAGGCAGCCUCUUCUUUCUAUAUAUCUGGAACCUUCAAUUGCUGUACUAUACUUAAAAAGUUGACUGCAAACUUUUCAAAUUGUUCUUGGUUGUAGGCAGUCUCUGCCCUUCCAUUAUACUUAAAUCUCACCAUCACCUGCUGAAAAUAUAGUUAGAAUGUCUCUAUAAACCUGUGUAUUGGUAACAAUAUCUCAGAACACCUCAUUUGUAUUACCACUGUAUUUGUGUACUUUAAUAAUUGUGUAAAUAAAUUCAUAAGGACUUCUAAUUUU